GCCCUAGUAACGGCGAGUGAAGCGGCAUCAGCUCAAAUUUGAAAUCUGGCUCUUUCAGGGUCCGAGUUGUAAUUUGCAGAGGGAGCUUUCGAGUUGGCAGCGGUCUAAGUUCCUUGGAACAGGACGUCACAGAGGGUGAGAAUCCCGUACGUGGUCGCAGGCCUUCUCGAGGUAAAGCCCCUUCGACGAGUCGAGUUGUUUGGGAAUGCAGCUCUAAAUGGGAGGUAAAUUUCUUCUAAAGCUAAAUACUGGCCAGAGACCGAUAGCGCACAAGUAGAGUGAUCGAAAGAUGAAAAGCACUUUGGAAAGAGAGUCAAAUAGCACGUGAAAUUGUUGAAAGGGAAGCGCUUGCAGCCAGACUUGCCUGUAGUUGCUCAUCCGGGCUUUUGCCCGGUGCACUCUUCUAUAGGCAGGCCAGCAUCAGUUUGGGCGGUUGGAUAAAGGUCUCUGUCACGUACCUCCUCUCGGGGAGGCCUUAUAGGGGAGACGACAUGCAACCAGCCUGGACUGAGGUCCGCGCAUCUGCUAGGAUGCUGGCGUAAUGGCUGUAAGCGGCCCGUCUUGAAACACGGACCAAGGAGUCUAACAUCUAUGCGAGUGUUUGGGUGUCAAGCCCGAGCGCGCAAUGAAAGUGAACGGAGGUGGGAUCCCUUAAGGGUGCACCAUCGACCGAUCCUGAAGUCUUCGGAUGGAUUUGAGUAAGAGCAUGGCUGUUGGGACC
rnacentral:rRNA from 1 species